AGAGUUUGAUCAUGGCUCAGAACGAACGCUGGCGGCAGGCUUAACACAUGCAAGUCGAGCGCGUGUAGCAAUACACGAGCGGCGCACGGGUGAGUAACGCGUGGAUAUCUGCCUUUUGGUUCGGAAUAACCCCGGGAAACUGGGGCUAAUACCGGAUGGUUCCUACGGGAUAAAGAUUUAUCGCCAAAAGAUGAGUCCGCGUCCGAUUAGCUAGUUGGUGAGGUAACGGCUCACCAAGGCGACGAUCGGUAGCUGGUCUGAGAGGACGAUCAGCCACACUGGGACUGAGACACGGCCCAGACUCCUACGGGAGGCAGCAGUGGGGAAUAUUGGACAAUGGGGGCAACCCUGAUCCAGCCAUGCCGCGUGAGUGAUGAAGGCCUUCGGGUUGUAAAGCUCUUCUGGCGGGGACGAUGAUGACGGUACCCGCAGAAUAAGCCCCGGCUAACUUCGUGCCAGCAGCCGCGGUAAGACGAAGGGGGCUAGCGUUGUUCGGAAUUACUGGGCGUAAAGCGCGUGUAGGCGGUUGUCCAAGUUGGAUGUGAAAGCCUUGAGCUCAACUCAAGAAAUGCAUUCAGGACUGGAUGACUAGAGGACCGGAGAGGAUAGUGGAAUUCCCAGUGUAGUGGUGAAAUACGUAGAGAUUGGGAAGAACACCAGUGGCGAAGGCGGCUAUCUGGACGGUUUCUGACGCUAAGACGCGAAAGCGUGGGGAGCAAACAGGAUUAGAUACCCUAGUAGUCC
rnacentral:rRNA from 1 species